GCUGCUGUGGCUCAGUGGUAGAGCACUCCCUUGGUAAGGGAGAGGUCGCGGGUUCAAUCCCCGCCAGCAGCACCA
rnacentral:tRNA from 1 species